rnacentral:rRNA from 1 species
UACGGAGGGUGCAAGCGUUAUCCGGAUUCACUGGGUUUAAAGGGUGCGUAGGCGGGCUUGUAAGUCAGUGGUGAAAGCCCGGAGCUUAACUCCGGAACUACCAUUGAUACUGCAAGUCUUGAGUACACUUGAGGUGGGCGGAAUACAUCAUGUAGUGGUGAAAUACUUAGAUAUGAUGUAGAACACCGAUUGCGAAGGCAGCUCACUAAAUUGUAACUGACGCUGAGGCACGAAAGCGUGGGGAUCAAACAGG